UACAGAGGGGGCAAGCGUUGUUCGGAAUUACUGGGCGUAAAGGGCGCGUAGGCGGCCUUCUAAGUCGAACGUGAAAUCCCCGGGCUCAACCCGGGAACUGCGUCCGAUACUGGAAGGCUUGAAUCCGGGAGAGGGAUGCAGAAUUCCAGGUGUAGCGGUGAAAUGCGUAGAUAUCUGGAGGAAUACCGGUGGCGAAGGCGGCAUCCUGGACCGACAUUGACGCUGAGGAGCGAAAGCUAGGGGAGCAAACGGG
rnacentral:rRNA from 1 species